UGGCUCAGGACGAACGCUGGCGGCGUGCCUAAUACAUGCAAGUCGAACGGUCUUUCUAUGGAAGCUUGCUUCCACUGAGAAGAUAGUGGCGAACGGGUGAGUAACACGUGGGUAACCUGCCCAUAAGAGGGGGGAUAACAUCCGGAAACGGGUGCUAAUACCGCAUAGUUUUCUUGAUCGCAUGAUCGGGAAAGGAAAGACGGCCUUUGUGCUGUCGCUUAUGGAUGGACCCGCGGCGUAUUAGUUAGUUGGUGAGGUAACGGCUCACCAAGACGAUGAUACGUAGCCGACCUGAGAGGGUGAUCGGCCACAUUGGGACUGAGACACGGCCCAAACUCCUACGGGAGGCAGCAGUAGGGAAUCUUCCGCAAUGGACGAAAGUCUGACGGAGCAACGCCGCGUGAGUGAAGAAAGGUUUUCGGAUCGUAAAACUCUGUUGUCAGAGAAGAACAAGUUGGAGAGUAACUGCUCCAGCCUUGACGGUAUCUGACCAGAAAGCCACGGCUAACUACGUGCCAGCCGCAGC
rnacentral:rRNA from 1 species